UAUUACCAGGCUAACAUAUAGCACCUGGUACUGUAUAAAGAACCUGUCAAGCCUCAGAAUGGUUCUUCAGCGGUUCUUUGGGGUGGUUAAGGUGCUAUAUAGCACCACUGCCGUUUAUAAAGAAGCCAUUAAGUUUUUAAACUGUGUUUGCACUUGGAUGGGAUUAAUGCAGAACACAAAUUCCAAGUAUGGGUUACCAUACUUGCCCACACCUCACUUCAUAAUACUCCAAAUUAAAUUAAACUUAAUUUACUAAUUAUAGAUUAUUAUCAGAUUAUAAUUUAUAAUAUAUAUAUACACAAACGCACACAAUCUUUUUUUUAACAAUUUAAUGAACACACAAAAUAAAAUGUCUCUGUAACUCAUUUACACAUACCAUAUAAAUGUAAAAUCACUAAAGAGUUAAAGCUCUGUUGUUGAAUUAUCCACAAGUUUUUUUCCCCCUCAUAUUUCAGAACCAUCACCUAUCCACCUUUUUCUUGCCGUAAAAAUUGGGCGUGGCCAUUUGUAAAUUCUAUGGGUCUAGCUUGCGGUCUCAUCCGCGUCCAGCUAAUUUUAGCUGUACAAAACAGUUCAUUGUGCUGCUUGAUAUUGAAAAUUUGUGUGUCUUACAAUAUUAUUUUAAUGUAUUAUCUUAAUUAUGAAUACACUGGUUUGUAGUGCAAACAGUUUUACCGUUUACUGCGUUGUUAUGAAAUCACUUUGUAGGCGGAUCGGCUGUUUGCAUGGUUCCUCGACAAAAGCCAAUAGGAUUUUUUCAUAGGCUUUUGGAUUAUCGCAAAAAAUAAGCUCUGUGUUCAAUCAUAGUUCAUGAAACUUACACGUAACUUUGAUGAAUUUUGAAGCCUAAAUAAAAGCGCCAGAACUGAAAAGCUAAACUUAAGCUAUAAAUGAACUACACCACGGUCGCUCGCCUUCAACGUCACCACCAGCCCGCUCCUGACAACUGUUUCAAACUUAUUUUUAACGUUCAGUGAAAAGUAUUUACUCUGUAUAUGAAUAUAAUCCACGCUACAUGAACCUUUUCAUAUAAACUGGAAUAAAUACAAAACUGGAGCCAAACUGAAAUGAGACAUUAGUAAUAAAUAGUUUAGUGAAUAAAUGAAAUAAUCUUAACUAAAGGACAUUUAAAGCACGUAUUUCUGUACAUUUCGAAAUAAGGGCUUGUCAUAUGACACACAGCAGCCACAAUACCACUGUAUAACUGAUAUAGGCUUAUGUAUUAUUAUUUUUUUAUUCAAAAUAUUCCCAAAAUAUAUCAUGAAAUAUCUCGAUUCUCAAAUAUGUGUAAGUAAAUGCAUUUUGCACCUUUAUAGAUUAUGUUAGUUGAUCUAUAAUGGGCGAUAGGCAAAGUAGCCUUAAGUACCAGAUGUCAUACCAUAAAAUGAGUGUCACACCAUAAACAUAUAAUACGACUGACUUUGUAUUUUAUGUGGAUUUAAUAAAAACAUUGUAAGUUACUACCCAGCAAACACGUUAAUGUGGGGCCCACAUGGGUUUCACAUGGCCUACAGGGGUACAGAGUGGGCAUGGGCUCAAAAUGGGCAUCUUAUCUGGGGCCCACUUGGGUGGCCCAGCUAGGACCCACACGGGUGAAACCAGGUGGGCAUCUUAUCUGGGGCCCACUUGGGUGACUCAGCUAAGACCCACAUGGGUGAACAGGUGGGCAUCUUAUCUGGGGCCCACUUGGGUGAACCCAGGUGGGCUCCCCAUGUGGUUCCCAGUUGGGUAAUUAAUGGGAAAUGUGUGCAUGGGCUCAAAAUGGGCUACACAUGGGACCCUAUUUGUUUUAUCAAAUAUACAAGUGCAAACAUAAUUAUUCCCAUGGGGUGAUUACAUAUGUAUAUAUAUAUGCACAUAUGUGUCUUUAAAAUGAUUUUUGUUGUUGUUUUGACACUUGGACUACUAUUAUCAAAAUAAAAAAAAAUCCCCCUCCUUUUUUUUAUUACAGUCUAUGAUUCCAACACUCAUUCUACCCAAUUUUCCACUGACAUUUAGCCCAAAAAAAUGCAGCCACUUUAAUUGUGCUGACAACUCGAGAUCUCCCAAGUUCCAUCGAGAUCCCAUUCCCCACGACAUCAAACUACCGCGAGAUGCAGCCCUGCCUCGAUCUGCAUGCAGUGUGGAUCCCGCGAGAUUUCAUUCAGCAAUUCCUAUCCCCCACGCAGCACACGCUGCAUCGCGCCGACGCCAGUGUUGCCAACUUAGCAAUUUUGUUGCUAAAUUUAGCAACUUUUCACACUACCCUAGCAACUUUUUCUUCCAAAAGCACCUAGCAACAAAUUUAGCUAUUUUUAAAAUUUAUUUGGCAACUUUUAGCAACUUUUGAUAAGUGAUUUAAACGAUAAAAAGGCAAACAAUUUCCAUCUAAAUUACACAAAACGAGGAAACUAAAGAUGCCUAGCAGUACACACAUCACACGAAUUAGGUUAGCUGCUAUUUGCAAUUGUUCAAUUUAAUAAUAAUUGUUCAUUUAUGAUACACCUUAGCUUGUACCUGCGAUUGUUGAUCAGUUAGUAGACUGUAAAAAACAAAUAUCUAGAAAAAUGGAAAAGGUACUAGUAAUUUUUCAGGACAUUAUGUGUUAUCCAUUAUCCGUUGUAACCCUGUAACCUGAAAACACAAAAUACAAUGCGUAAUUUAAAAUGCAGGUAAAAAAAACAACAACAAAAAAAAAAAACACAUGAAAAAUCAAUACAGAAAAUUCCUUCACAUUAACAUAGUAGAUUGUGCCCUACUUUUACAGACUUUACUUAAAGUGUAACACACUAACUACUAAUACACUGCUUAAAACUAUAACUGUUCAGAAUGUGUAGUUUUACUGGUUUACUAGCUAAUAAAAAAAACAACAACUUAAAUUGUAAUUGUUCAAAAAUGUGUAAAUGUUCAAUAAUUCAAUGUUGUAUUUAAAAAUACAUUUAAAUUUUUUAAUAUUAUAUUACGUUAUAUUAUUUUACAAACAAAUCUAAAUUAACUAUAUAUAUUUUUGCUGCGAUUUGAUGCAGUUUUGUCAGCAAUGUCAUUUAGCAACUUUUAGCAACAGAUCGACCUUCCUUUAGCAACUUCCCCUGAAAAUUAGUUGGCAACACUGGCCGACGCCAUUAUACUCACUGACUGCUUUGCUGUAAUUUUCGAGAGAAGACGUUUGCUGUCAGUGUAACCAAGGUAAGAAUUGGAGCAUGUAGAAAAUGUAGAGCAUGUAAUUACAUUGUUUACAUGUACAUGUACAUGUUAACCGAAACAUAGUUUGGCUUUUGUCACGUUAGAAUUUAGACCUCAUACUCAGAUCGCGCCAUAUUUUUCCUCUUAUUUCUGGCGCCAAUGUCUAACGUUAAACGAUAAUGCUGUAUUGGUGUUCCCUACGCCCUCUAAAACUAAAAAAACACUAAAAAAGAUGUUGGUGCAGUGGAGCAGAAACUGGCAGACCCCACCUUCCAGAAACAAGUGGUUGCUGUGGUGGCAGAAAUUGGAGGCAGUACUGUGGAUGAAGCCACGAGAAGAAUGAGGGCCUUCCUUUUGGACCACCCCUUAUCAAGAGAGUUCAAUUUUGUUGGCCGGCAUGGAAAGUGAGAGUUUCGGGGGCUCAAACUGCUUGAGGUUGUAUAAGGUAUGUUUACUUGCUGUUGGAUUAUUAACUUUCAUGUGCAAACAGAGGUUAUUUGGUAGAGUUGAGUUUGUUCUUCAUAAAUCAGUGGAAUCAAAUCAGUUUGAUUGAAUGCAAAUAAUUGUCCAUAUUUGGACAAGCAAUACCCCAAAUUAUGAGAAUAUGAACCAGGUGUACUGCUUAUUUUAGUGAUAAGUAACUGUUCAUUUGUGGUGAAGCGAUCACAAAAAGAGUUUAAAAUAAAUAACAUUCAAACUUUAUUAAAGACAAGUACACUAAUACAAGUGAAGUGAUAAUAAAAUAAGAACAAAUGAAGACAUCAGAUGCAAAAAACGUCAGAAAUUUUCAGGCUCUUAUGUUUAUGUUCAGUUAUUUCACUGUAAUGGCAAUGAAUUGAAUGAUGACCUAUAUUUGCCUGAUAAAAAUUAUAAUUUUUUAAAGAGAAUUUCAGAUGCACAUAUUUUGACAUUUGUGAUUAAAUGAGACAAAUAAAAUUUUUGUGUGAACUAUGCCUUUAAAUGUUGCCCUGUGCCCUCGUUUACACAGAAAUCAUUUAUGAUAGAAUAUUAUAUCCGAUACCAUUAUUGUACAUCCUGAAAAAAUUAAAAAUGGAGAUGACUGCUUAUUUAUUGCAAGGGCUUAAAUAUGGAAUUUAAUCUAACUUUAAUGCUUUUGAUGUGCUUUACAGGAAGCUUGAAAUAAAUUCUCUUAACCAAAUUACCAGAAAAGAGGCAGAAAAGUCAGCGUCAAAGUGGCUCAUCGGUGACGGGAGGAAACCGCUCUGCGAAGUCACGUAGUAGAGAGCAAGAUAGGUAAGUCUUAAGAUAUUCGUGAUUAUUAAAUGGAAAUACAAUCUUUAAAAAGACAAGAAUCGUCUGUUUUAACUGUGAAAAAGUGGCACAGUGGUUGAUUAAUUGUUGUCUUUUCAAAGGGAGAGCGAGGACAGAGGUGUGAGGAGCUGCACGGUUGGAUUGUUUGUUUGUGAAAUAAUGUAUUUUACAGUUUUCAGAUAUGUGUAUACAAAUGAUACAAGUUAUUCCAAAUAAUGUUUGGCAGGAGCUUCACUUUAACUUUUUUUUUAAGAUGCUUAUGUUUUAUAAAGUUGUAAAUACACAAGUUAUAAUGGUCAUGUUCAAAUUAUUCCAACGAAACCUUGUUUAAAGCAUGCAGAAUACAAGUUAUGAAGAUUUUUUUUAUACAAGAAAUAAAGUUUUUCAGGAGCUUAAAAUUAACUUUUUUUAUAUACUUGUUUUAUAAAGUUGUAAAUGUACAAGUUAUAAUAGUAAUGUUUAAAUUAUUCCAAAUAAACUUUGCUUAAAAGCAUGAACUACUGGUUUCUGUUAAUUGAAUGCCUUUAGCAUUUUAGUAGCAUUUUUUAAAUGUAUUGUUUGUAUUUAGGGGUGUACUGUAAAAUAAGGUAACCCAAACAGACAAAUGUUAGCCUAUGUGUAUACUUGUUGUGACCCAUAAGAGACCUACAUAAGACCUAGCUGGGUCCCAUCUCUAACCCAUGUAGGCAGGCUCAUGUAGGCACCAAAUGGGAGCUACCUGGUUAACCCGUAUGGGCCCUAUAUGGAGCCCAUCAAGGGCCCAUCUUCAGCCCAUCUGGGCUAACCCAUGUUGGGCCACCAUGGAAACUGAGGACAAAAUUAGCUGGGUCCCAGUUGGGUAGCCCAGAUGGGCCCAAGAUAUCGGCCCAGUUGCAACCCUUAUGGGCCCCACAUGGAUGUGUUGGCUGGGUAAUUACGUUAGCCCAUAACACUUUCAUUAUACAAAAAGAGCAAAGAACGUUUACAUUAUCAAAGAACGUUUUCGCUUCAGUCCAGCGGGUUCAAGCACUCUCAAAAACUUGCAUGAUAAUCUCUAAAGCUGUUUACACUGUGAAAUUAAUAUCUUACUUACAUUCGUACAUCUUCACUUUGUUGUUUCUGAGGAGAGAAUUCAGUCAGAGAGCGCGCGCAGUGACGAAAUAGCGGCACUUCGGCCAUGACUCAUCUGAACGCUUCUGAUUGGACCAUGCAUUCAUAAGCUCAACAGAAUCGUAUGUGAUUGGUUAUAAUGCGCAGUGCUUUACAAACUUGUGUGUCUCUGGCUCUGUGCCAGCCAGCGAACACAGAUUUGAAUUUAACAGCUGUUUUUCUUUUUAUAUAGUUUACAGGACAAACUGCGCAUUUCACCCAAAAUUGUUUGGUGUGAUAUGAUUCCAAAUUUAGGGGGGCCAAGCUUGUUGUAGCUUGCACUGGCCCCCCUCUCAUCAGCAGCAACAUGUAUAUAAACCACGUGGUAUUAAAGAGACAACUCGCACAAUGGGUCCAAGUAAAGUUGUUUACAAAUGUGUCAGCUGCAAUAAUUUAAGAUAUUAGAAGACAUGUUUGUCGUAAGAGUUUUAUAGUAACAAUAUAGCAUAUCAACAUGAUGAUGUAGUUGUUUAUAUUUUUAGCUUCACUGCAAGGCAAGUUUAUUUAUAUACCAAAUUUCAUACACAAUGGUAAUUAAGUGCUUUACUUAAGAAUGGACAGUAAGGGCAGUGACUGUAACAUCGAGCGUAUUUUGCAGUAUUAAAAACUUAUUUAUACCAAUUUCAUCAGGCUCUGAAAAUUCUUCAAAAAGAACACAAAGAAUGGCCUUCUCAGUUGCCAUAGUUGCAACUCUUGCGUCAUCAGAACAGGGUGUUCAACGCAGCACCGUUUCCGUUUAAAAAACGUUUUGCAAUGUUUAGACGGGGCUGAACGCAGCCAUGACUAGACCAGUCAAUGCACAUGCGCAGUAAGCAUGUUAUGACUCCGCAUACACAUUGGCUGGUCUAGCCUGAAAAAUAAACUUUUUAAACGCUAUUUGUGCAUAAGAAACAACAUUCAUGUGGCAAUUAAUUUCAGAUUUUUGUUGGUGAUGUGACAUAUGUAAUUUAAUUGGGAGUUCAGCAAGCAGUUUUUGAGAUUUCAGGAUUCCCCCAUUCAUUAAGAUAGGACUUGUAUGAGCUGCCUGGAGGCGUUACAAAUAUGGCCGCCGAGUGAAGAGACUUUCCUCGAAAGGGAGUUUGUUUGAAAAUGAUUUAUUUUAAUUUUAAUUUUUUAUGAUUUAAUUAAUUGUCAGCUUUUCAUUAAUUUCACAACCCCCCUGCACAUGGGCGUCGCUAGGCCAUUUUUAGGGGGGCUUUAGCACCUUUCUGCGCGUUCUUCAAUCCACAGACUGCGGUGGCGCAGAGGUGUGUGUUUAUCGAUAGAUUGUUAUAAUAUCUACAUCUAUGCAGUUCUUUGUCAUAAAUACAGUUUACAAAAAGUCAUGGGAGAGCAAUCGGUUUCCAAUCUACUGUAAAGUUUUCGCUGCAUUCACCACUCAUCACACCACAGCUGUUUCCUUCAGCGAAAGCCCUUAACACAUAUGAACGCAUACUUUAUAAAACGAUCACGUUAUUGCUAUUUUCAUUUGGAAAUUUAGCUUUCAAUAUAGAACAUAAUAUUACAGUGCAUGUGGCAUUAACUACCAUACAGUUAUGCAUAGAAAUGAUUAAAGACAGUGACCGACAGCCCUCAGUCAGUGCACUCAUUUUAAUUGCUUGUUAAUUUUUUGUACAAAUUUUCAAUCAAUUUUUUUGUAAAUAUUUAUUUAUUUUUUUGUUAUUAUACCCUCAUUGGGGGCUGAGCCCCCCUAAAAUGAAAAUCCUAGAAUCGUCCCUGUCCCUGCAGUUCCUUUACGAACCCUAGUUUCGGAAACCUUGAUGCACUUCAUGUUGUACAUUACAAUGAAUGGAACAAGUUUUCUUACUCUUUGCAUUUGUUUUACAUCAUUAUGGUACAAGAUAAUGUUAUUUAAAUCAAUGUGAUAAACGAGUUAAAUCGAAAGUAAUCUAAAAGUAAUCUGAUUAUAUUACCUAAAAUUUGUAAUGUAACGGAUUACAUUACUGACUACAAUUUUUGUCAUGUAAUCUGGAAUCAGUGACGGAUUACAAUUUGUAAGUAAUCUACCCAGCUCUGUUUAUAACAUCAUAUUGUUUUACAACAACAUUUAAGUGAUGUGCGCUCCUAAACUUUUCUCAGAAUGACAUUUGCUUUGAUUCACGAUGUGGAGCAGGCAAAGUCAUAGAGGUUACAAUUAUCAACAAGACACCUAAAGUAAGUGUUAUAUCUCAUUUACAAUGCUUCUUGUAACAUCAUAUUGACAAAUCAAACCAUUGUAAACUCCCCAGAUUUAAAAUGGUAAUAUAAGUCAUUGGUACGUGCAUGUCUCGUGACCAAAUAUCAUAUCAUAUCAUGAAGCUUGUACAGUGAGUUAUUUUGAUGUGUCGAUUUACUGGGUUUGAGUGCUAUUUUUGAAUAUUCAUUUGAAAAAACUCAAACUCAAUGAGUGAGUUUUUUUUUUUUAAGUGAUUUUGUCACCUCACAAGAUAUGACACAUGACUUACAUAAGCUACUUUUAACAAGUUUUUGUGGGUGCCUUUUUUAAGAAUGUGUUUUGUGUUCAUCAAAAGUGAGUUAUAUGGGUUUGGAAUGACAUUUUUGAGUAAAUUAUUCCUCUGUUGUUACAGAUGGUUCAUGCUGGAAUAAUUGAAAAAUCAAAAAGAAAUGUGUUUGCGUAUAAAACCAUCAGUACAUUGUCAAGUUGGAUGAAAAGAGCUCUUGUUAACAUUUUUAGGACACAUAACAGACAUGGGUAAGCCACAUUUCCAUAUUUAAGAUUAUUGAUUGUCAUGCAUAACUUUUUGAUCAUUAAUAUUUGACUAUAUUUUAAUACAUGCGAAUAAUUCUACUCAUUCCUGCAGGUUCCGCGCUUAUAAUGCGAUGACUGUGUCAUUUGCACAUACUUUUGAGUCUUGCCUAUUUAAAGUGAAAGAGAACUCAAUUCAGUAGCCUACUAGCGCGCUCAGAUCACAAUAAACUGUGACAGCUUAAUUAUUAAGGGAGUUUGCAAAUAUGUUAUUGAUUUAAUACAAUAGUUUAAUAAAAAAGAAGUUAAUAUUAAAGGUAAUAUAUUACUUGCGUUGAAUUUGACAUAGAUGAUGACAUAACCUACUUUUAAUAAAAUUUGAAAAAUGCCAUUGCAAAUGUAAAAAAAAAAAAAAAAUGCCCCUGUAAAUCACUUUAAGGAGUCAAAUAUCACUUUUUUUUUAUUAUUGAUCAGAAGGUGCUCCUAAAAAGAAAAAGUAAGUGUAGAGCCCUGUGUAAUAGUAUAUUAGAUCCGUGCAUAAGGUCUUCUGCACCUACCUAUCGUCUGUCUGUCUGUCAUUACGGUCUAUUUAUACAGUGAAGACUAUUUAGUGUUAUUUUACAGUUGAAUAGAUUAUUCAGUUUCUGUAGUUAUUCAGUACCUAUAUAUUAUAGUUAGAACUAAAUGAAAAAAAAAUAAAGUACUGUUAAUUUCAUUUGUAUCUUGUUACUGUUUUUGUUUGUGCUAUUGCUUGUCAUUUAUUUAUUUGUUCUGAUUUUAUUACUUACUAUUAACUUGUCUUUUUAGUUAAAAUCAAUUCAAUUCUGAGUUUGAUUGCACAUGAUUCUUGGUCCAUGGGAAAUAGACAUGCCACCACAGCUGGAAAAAAUCCUAGAGGAAACACUGGCCUACAGUUGGAAGCAGCUAUUCUGCUCUUGCCUGCUCUGUUCAAGGAGGACCCGGGGUUGCUGUUUGAAGUUGAGGGCCAUUCUCAGACCAGCCCAUCCCAACACCUAAGAUGAAGCUUAAAGGCUGUAGGGAGGGUCAUCUCGUGCAGUAUGACCACAUUGUGCUCACUUUGGAUGGACAGUUAAUCACAGAGG